GACGAACGCUGGCGGCGUGCUUAACACAUGCAAGUCGAACGGAAAGGCCCUGCUUUUGUGGGGUGCUCGAGUGGCGAACGGGUGAGUAACACGUGAGUAACCUGCCCUUGACUUUGGGAUAACUUCAGGAAACUGGGGCUAAUACCGGAUAGGAGCUCCUGCUGCAUGGUGGGGGUUGGAAAGUUUCGGCGGAUGGGGAUGGACUGGCGGCUUAUCAGCUUGUUGGUGGGGUAGUGGCUUACCAAGGCUUUGACGGGUAGCCGGCCUGAGAGGGUGAACGGCGACAUUGGGACUGAGAGACGGCGCAGACGCGUACGGGAGGCAGCAGGGGGGAAUAUUGCACAAUGGGCGGAAGUCUGAUGCAGCAACGCCGCGUGCGGGAUGACGGCCUUCGUGUGGUAAACCGCUGUCGCCUGUGACGAAGCGUGAGUGACGGUAAUGGGUAAAGAAGCACCGGCUAACUACGUG
rnacentral:rRNA from 1 species